rnacentral:misc_RNA from 1 species
UCCCGGAAGAGAAACUGCCUACUAAGGUUGCUCUUUUCAAUAACAUCAUCAUCUGUAAUUGUCAGCUUCCCUUUCUCAUGACAAGAAACCCCCAUCAAAGCCAAAAAGCCAAAUUCUUCAAGAACUCACACCCAAGGGCACCAGAUCCUACCAUAAAAACGUUAGCAUCUUCAAGUUUUUUCUGAAGCUUAGACCCAAAGACUGAAAUUUGUGCAUCAUAACGGCUAUUCAAGGGCUUUAAGUCAUUGGGAUCCAAUGGUUCAGUGGGGAGGGACUCCACCGAGUCAAAAUAGAAAAACUGAAAAAGAGGAUGAAACUUCCCAGAGCAGGCCUUCACAACUUCCUGUCCAACAAUACCACCAAACAUAGCAGCCAUGGGAUUAAGGACAGCCCUAGCACCAAAUGCAAAAUGGUGCAGAAUUUUUUGAUUAAUUUCUUCAAGCCUCCCAUCUGUUGAGUUAUCAUUGAUGCUGGUGACCAAAGAUAUCAAUUUUUGAGCAUCCUC